GGGCUGUGGCUUUUUGGUAGAGCAUCUGUUAUGAAUGCAGAAAGCCCAGGUUCAAGUCCUGGCGUGUCCA